AAGACACAGCUGGGAACAAUGAAGGGCAAGACAUGCAGACACAGGGGCAGACACAGAAAUCCACAUCCUCACAGCAUCAGUUUCUCAGUUAGAGUUAGACCUGCAAUGUUACUGGGACAUUCUCACACAUACAUGUCCUUUCUUCUACACCGUACCAUUGUAGCUCUUGGUCCAUGGUUAGGCCCUCUGUUCUACUGAUUCCAUCAGCCUCUCCAUUUCUCCCUUCCUUGCUCUUGUGUCCUGGGAGCCCCAAGGUUUGGAAGUCUGGAUAACCAGCCAUGUCUAAUGGUACACAGCCCACUCAUACUGAAGGGCAGAAACUUCAAAAGAAUAGCACCAGCACCCCAGAGUUUAUCAGAAAGCUUCAGCGGCAGAAAGGAGCUCAGUCCUCUCCAGCUGACACGCCCACAUGCCUUCACACCAUCUUUGCCCAGGAGCCUUACAGUCUGCUGGGAAGACAACAGCGGCGUCAUAUUCCUCCCCGGAUCCAUGUCCGGCUGCCACCGAGGCGAGAUCAAGGAACUCGGUUCUAGACAAGGAGCGGGCUUCACUGGAGGAGUCCUGCAGUGAAGAUAAACAGCAUCAUGAAAUGUAUUGCAUUUGUUAUCUUGUCUGUACAGCAUUUCUUGAGAAACCUUCUGUAAACCGGUGCUUUUAAUAAACUGACAGGCUAAAUCAGA